AUUGCCUCAGUAACGGCGAGUGAAGCGGCAAGAGCUCAAAUUUGAAAGCUGGCCCCUUCGGGGUCCGCAUUGUAAUUUGCAGAGGAUGCUUCGGGUGCAGCCCCCGUCUAAGUGCCCUGGAACGGGCCGUCAUAGAGGGUGAGAAUCCCGUCUGGGAUGGGGUGUCUGCGUCCGUGUGAAGCUCCUUCGACGAGUCGAGUUGUUUGGGAAUGCAGCUCUAAAUGGGUGGUAAAUUUCAUCUAAAGCUAAAUACUGGCCGGAGACCGAUAGCGCACAAGUAGAGUGAUCGAAAGAUGAAAAGCACUUUGAAAAGAGAGUUAAACAGCACGUGAAAUUGUUGAAAGGGAAGCGCUUGCGACCAGACUCGCCCGCGGGGUUCAGCCGGCAUUCGUNCCGGUGUACUUCCCCGGGGGCGGGCCAGCGUCGGUUUGGGCGGCCGGUCAAAGGCCUCCGGAAUGUAGCGCCCUUCGGGGCGCCUUAUAGCCGGGGGUGCAAUGCGGCCAGCCUGGACCGAGGAACGCGCUUCGGCUCGGACGCUGGCAUAAUGGUCGUAAACGACCCGUCUUGAAACACGGACCAAGGAGUCUAACAUCUACGCGAGUGUUCGGGUGUCAAACCCGUACGCGCAGUGAAAGCGAACGGAGGUGGGAGCCCCCUCGUGGGGCGCACCAUCGACCGAUCCUGAUGUCUUCGGAUGGAUUUGAGUACGAGCGUAGCUGUGGGGACCCGAAAGAUGGUGAACUAUGCCUGAAUAGGGCGAAGCCAGAGGAAACUCUGGUGGAGGCUCGCAGCGGUUCUGACGUGCAAAUCGAUCGUCAAAUUUGGGUAUAGGGGCGAAAGACUAAUCGAACCAUCUGGUAGCUGGUUCCUGCCGAG
rnacentral:rRNA from 1 species